GACGAACGCUGGCGGCGUGCUUAACACAUGCAAGUCGAACGAAGAGCGAUGGAAGCUUGCUUCUAUCAAUCUUAGUGGCGAACGGGUGAGUAACGCGUAAUCAACCUGCCCUUCAGAGGGGGACAACAGUUGGAAACGACUGCUAAUACCGCAUACGAUCUAAUCUCGGCAUCGAGGAUAGAUGAAAGGUGGCCUCUACAUGUAAGCUAUCACUGAAGGAGGGGAUUGCGUCUGAUUAGCUAGUUGGAGGGGUAACGGCCCACCAAGGCGAUGAUCAGUAGCCGGUCUGAGAGGAUGAACGGCCACAUUGGGACUGAGACACGGCCCAGACUCCUACGGGAGGCAGCAGUGGGGAAUCUUCCGCAAUGGACGAAAGUCUGACGGAGCAACGCCGCGUGAGUGAUGACGGCCUUCGGGUUGUAAAGCUCUGUUAAUCGGGACGAAAGACCUUCUUGCGAAUAGUGAGAAGGAUUGACGGUACCGGAAUAGAAAGCCACGGCUAACUACGUG
rnacentral:rRNA from 1 species